rnacentral:lncRNA from 1 species
AGUUUAGCGUAAACCGGGAAGCGGAUCGCGUGGAGUGAAAGUCACCGCAGCGGAGAUGGACAAACCAUGUGGGUGCCCUCCAGGUGUGUGCGACCAUGAAAUGGGAGACUAGCAGGACCCACGUUGGCCAACCGUGGACCUGGUCCCUCCAGUAGGAGUCGUGAGCCAGCUGAAUUUGAAUGCAAAGAUGGAGCAAGGGCCGACUGGAGUCACACUGACAUCCACCCCCAUAACAUGGGGACAGAUCAAGAAAACAAAGCAGGAAGCUGAGAAAAUGCUGGAGCAUCCAUGUGCUUGGCCAUGUUAGCAGUAGUGUCCUGUGAGGAUUGAUUUCCAAAAACUCCUGUUACAUGAGGAAGACACCAAGAAGAGCAAAGAAAAGGAGCCAGGGUGGCUCUUCCUCAGCUAUCUCUUCCAAAUGCAUGACAAGGAAGUUCUCAUCAAGAAGGCAAGGCAAUACAGAAGUGUUCCACACAGGGACAUUGCAAAGACAAGCAAGUCAUCACACUGGAGAUUUUUCCUUCCAGGAAAUUGAGAAAGAUUUUCAGGACUUUGAGUUUCAGUGGCAAGAAGAUGAAAGAAAUGGCCAUGAAGCACUCAUGACAGAGAUAAAAAAGUUGACAGGUAAUACAGACUGAUAUGAUCAAAGGCAUGCUGGAAACAAACCUAUUAAAGAUCAGCUUGGAUCAAGCUUUCAUUCACAUCUGCCUGAACUGCAUAUAUUGCAGAGCAAAGGGAAAAUUGAUAGUCAAGAUGAGAAGUCUGUCAAUGAUGCUUCCUCAGUUUCAGCAUCCCAAAGAAUUUCUUGUAUUCCUAAAACCCAUAUUUCUAAUAAGUAUGGGAAUAAUUUCCUCCAGGAAGCACACAUGAGAGAAAAAUCUUUCCAAUGUAAUGAGAGUGGCAAAGCCUUUAAUUGUAGCUCACUGUUAAAAAAAUGUCAGAUAAUCCAUUUAGGAGAGAAAAAAUAUAAAUGUGAUAUAUGUGGCAAGGUCUUUAAUCAGAAGCGAUACCUUGCAUACCAUCAUAGAUGUCACACUGGUGAGAAACCUUACAAGUGUAAUCAGUGUGGCAAGACCUUCAGUUACAAGUCAUCCCUUGUAAUUCACAAGGCAAUUCAUACUGGAGAGAAACCUCACAAGUGUAAUGAAUGUGGCAAGGUUUUUAAUCAAAAAGCAUAUCUUGCAAGUCAUCAUAGACUUCAUACUGGAGAGAAACCUUACAAAUGUGAAGAAUGUGACAAAGUUUUUAGUCGCUAAUCACACCUUGAAAGACAUAGGAGAAUUCAUACUGGAGAGAAACCGUACAAAUGUAAGGUUUGUGACAAGGCUUUCAGACGUGAUUCACACCUGGCACAACAUAUUGUAAUUCACACUGGAGAGAAACCUUACAAGUGUAAUGAGUGUGGCAAGACCUUUGUUCAAAAUUCAUCUCUUGUAAUGCAUAAGGUCAUUCAUACUGGAGAGAAAUGUUACAAGUGUAAUGAAUGUGGCAAGGUUUUUAAUCACAAAUCAAACCUUGCAUGUCAUCAUAGACUUCAUACUGGAGAGAAACCUUACAAGUGUAAUGAAUGUGGCAAGGUUUUUAAUUGAAAAUCAAACCUUGAACAUCAUCAUAGAGUUCAUAUCGGAGAAAAACCUUACAAAUGUGAAGAAUGUGACAAAGUUUUCAAUUUCAAUUCACGCCUUGAAAUACAUAGGAGAGUUCAUACUGGAGAGAAACCAUAGAAAUGUAAGGUUUGUGACAAGGCAUUCGGGUGUGAUUCACACCUGGCACAACAUACUAGAAUUCACACUGGAGAGAAACCGUGCAAGUGUGAUGAGUGUGACAGAGCCUUCAGUGGUCAGUCAACACUUAUUCACCAUCAAGCAAUCCAUGUCAUAGGGAAACUUUACUAAUGUAAUGAUUGUCACAAAGUCCUCAGUAAUGCUACAACCAUUGCAAAUUAUUGGAGAAUGCAUAAUGAAGUGAGAACUUACAAGUGUUAUAAAUGUGGCAAAUUUUUCAGACUUCGUUCAUACCUUGCAGUUUAUCAGCGAACUCAUACUGGAGAGAAACCUUACAAAUGUGAUGAUUGUGGCAAGGUCUUCAGUCAAGCUUCAUCUUAUGCAAAACACAGGUGAAUUCAUACAAGAAAGAAACCUCACAAGGGUGAUGAUUGUGUCAAAGCCUUUAUUUCAGGUUCAUGCCUCAUUACACAUCAGAGAAUCCAUACUAGACAGAGAUCUUACAAAAGUCAUAUGUGUGGCAAGAUCUUUAGUCUGAGGUCACUCCUUGCAGGACAUCAGGAAAUUCAUUUUUGAGGUAAUAAUUUCAAAUGCAAUGAGUAUAGCAAACCAUCAAGCACAAUUGAUGUUAGAUUCAAAUCAGCAUUGAGUUCAGUUUGAGUUGACUUAACAUUGAGUUCAAGUAUUUGUUGAGAUUAAAGUGUUUAUGUUAAGAGGAUUAGGCCAGGUGCGGUGGCUCACACCUGUAAUCCCAGCACUUUGGGAGGCCAAGACAGGUAGAUCACUUGAGAUCAGGAGUUUGAGAGCAGCCUGGCCAACAGAGGUGAGCACCUUUCCCAGUCUGUUUUUUGUUUCUUCAACAAAAACUGAUAGAGAUUUUUAUGGGUAUUGUGUUGAAUCAAAAUCACAUUGGGUUAUGUAAUCAUUUAACAGUAUUAAUUUUUCCAAAACAUCAAUAUGGGUUAUAUCUUUAUAUAUGUUUUUAAUCAUUUUGAUCAAUGUUUGUAGAUUUCAAUGUAUGAAUUUCUCACUUCUUUCCAUUUAUUCCUAUUUCUUACUUUAAGUUCUCUAGCAAAUGGAAGUGUUUUUAAAUUUUCAUUUAAAAUUGUUUAUUGUUAAUGUAUGAAAAUUCAACGAAUUUUUGGUGCUGAUAUUGUAUUGUGCAAAUCUACUGAUGUGUUUAUUAGUCACAGUAGUAUUUUGGUUGACUCUUUGUGAUUUUCUACACAGAAGAUCAUGUCAUCUACAAAAAAUAUAAUUUUACUUUUUCUGA